UCACUCUGUUCAGUUCGCUUUUCGGUACUUGUCUCUUCUCUCAUUCGUCAAGCCAAAUUAAAUUCUGCAUCAAGUGUUUUCUUUUCGGAAAAGACAAAAACUUUUGUUACAGAAGGUACACAAAAUUACCCCGAAAAUCGAGAGAAAAAACAAUGUUCUACUAGAUGAACUUUUAUUAUGUUGUUAAAUUUACUGUAUCCGGUUCUCACGAUAAUUGUGCUGUUCCUCAUUUUGUUUUUAGUGGCUAAAGUACGAAAGUCUCGUGGCAUAAUUACAAAUUUGCAAGCAGCAGCAGCGACAGAAGAAAAAUUGCCUGACCUAUCGCCGCCGCCAUGUUACACCGUCGCUGCCGAAGGAUUACCAACUUACAGUGAAGCGGUAUCGUUGUCGUUUAGAAAACUCACAAACAUUCUCUCAUUAAUUUUUAAAUGGAAACGACACCACAGAGAAUAAAGACUUUGCUCCUUAUUA